rnacentral:rRNA from 1 species
AAAACUUUCAACAACGGAUCUNUUGGUUCUGGCAUCGAUGAAGAACGCAGCGAAAUGCGAUAAGUAAUGUGAAUUGCAGAAUUCAGUGAAUCAUCGAAUCUUUGAACGCACAUUGCGCCC